AGUGCCCGACAGAUGUUUUCUAGUCACUUUUGUAUGUCAGGGGAUGCGGGAGGCUCUUGUGUGUUCAGAGCCAGGACCAUCCGAAACAUCAGAAGUCGGCACAGCACCAUCUGCUAUUUGUUAAACCUUGUUGUAUUGUUUCCACAUAGCCUGGUUGAUUCUAUGAAUGGCUUGUCAGAACUGCUGCAGCGCCGGUGGUCUUAUUAAUUUUCGGGGUGGUCCCUUAUCGAAGACACCCCUCACUCCACACACAGCGACUGUGGUGCUAUUAAUAUGGGGUGGACGGACAGUGGACCCUGUUUGACGCCUGACUGUCGGGUUUGUUACAUGACGGAAUUCCAAAAUUGGGUGUUUUGUUUAGUCGUGUUUUGUUCCAUUAAGUUCUGUUUUCUUUUGUAUAUGUAGUUUAUCCAGAUCUAUUCUUUUUUUUAAAUUAUUAGUUCCAAUUUUCUU